rnacentral:lncRNA from 1 species
UGAACAACACGUUGGUAUCGGAGGAACAACCAUGGAUGGAAGCUAGGGCAAAAUGCUACCCCCAACAAGAGACAACAAGAAACCCGGUUCCUCGGCGGUGCAAUCGACUUUAAAUUAAGUUGAUAAAUUCUGAGUUUGUUAUAUAGAGGAGAGCGACAUAUUGUGUUACAAAAUAAUUAUUCAUGGUUCUUUUUAAAUAAGUGUCUUCUGUCUAGAAGAUUUAGCAGCACGAGGAGAGGGAGAUACAAGGAAACAGAACGGGGAGAGGGAGAUGCAGCGCUAAACACAUGUUGCAUCUAGUUAAAAAUAUUUCACAUAUGUAUACUUUACAACACAUGCUCCCGUCUCACUCCGGGGCUAAUUUUAUAUCAUAUAUUUCCCCGUAUUUAUGCAUGCAUACAUCCGUUAUAUAUUAUAAGUAGAGUGCAAAUUAAUUAAGGUCACAUCAUUUAGGUACGUAUUACUAAUUAAAUUGAGAGUAGCUAAUUAAUUCAGCCCGAGGAACAUCCUCUUCCUGUCGCUGAUGAAUUUUUCAGACCUCUUGUUGAUGUCCUCCACCGACACGAUGCCCCUGUUCCCGCCGCCGUGCUUCUUGCCACCGGCGCCGCCACCGUCGGCCGGUGGAGCCACCGGAAGGUUGCUGCCGCCUUUGCCGGCGCCGCCGUACGGCCCCCUGGGCUUCGUCAGGAUGUUGUAGACGAGGUCGAGCUUGUCCACCUUCUGGACCCUCACCUCUAUGUCGGAGGGAGCCGGAGCGCCGGCGGCGGCCAUGGCGGAGUGGCGAAACAUCUUCGUCGCCGUCGCCGUCGUCGCCGUGAGUUUUGUGCUGGAAUUGGCUACCGGCUGGGAGACCAGCUGAUGGAUGUCUCUUGUCUCUGAGAAGCUUGCUCUAUCGAUC